UUAAGUAGAUUAUCGAUUGGAAGAACCGGGUCUCGAUUAAAAAGAAGGAAAUAGGGUGAAUGUUUAGAACUCUCUGAUGUUGAAAAUCUCAUUGCGGCCAAGGUCAUGUUAAGAUGUACAUCCCAUUGUCGGACAUUACCCUCUACUAGUUUUGAUAAAAUGUUAUUGAUAGUUGCAUGAGAUCUUUCAUUUUGACCGUUCGCCUGAGGGUGGUAGGUGGAAGUUUUUACAUGAUCUAUGUUUAAUUCUUUCAGAACGGCCUGGAAAGCACCGCUAGUUACUUCGCUACCAUUGUCGGAGAUUAAACGAAGGGGAGUUGAGUAUCUACAACAGAUUUCUUCUACCAGUGGUUUAGUACUUCGCCGUUGUGUUCCACGUCAACCUUGCUCUUAUCCUGGUCACGGCACCAAACUUUUACGUGUCAC